GCUAGGAUUGUAUUGCCCCACUAAUGUAGGGUUUUACCGAUCUGGCAACAUUGUGGCAAUCACACCCCUCUUGCGUCACGUGAACGCGCACGUCUUAUCGUUGGCAAGGUGCGUAGAAAGAGGGCAAUCCAAUGCAUGCUGAAGAAGGGGAUGAGGAACCUCCCUCGAUGCUUUGGGGUCGGGACCCCAUCUUCUCGGCCUAUGCCAGACUCUACAUCAAAGACAUCCUGGAAAUUAAGGAGUCCUGUCAGGUCCCAGGCAUUUAUUUCUACAAAUUGCACCCAAUUUUUAAAGUGGACGUGCUAGGAACAGUGGUAUACAAACGAGAGCGAGAAGACUUCUUCUGCUAUGGAGUGGAUGAUGGUACUGGGGUUAUAAAUUGCCUUUGCUGGAAAGAUGAACAAUGGAAGGACCACAGUGGACCUGCGCAUGGGUCCAAGCCACAGGUGCCGAGCCAUGGCGGCUUUAACCCCACUGAGCAGCUGAAGAAGCUGCUGCACAGCCAGCGCUGCAGCUCUAAUUUGGAGAUCGGAGAUGUGCUGCGGGUUCGAGGGCCGGUGAAGACAUCUAGAGGACAACGGGAAAUCGCGGCUUCCUCAUACUAUAAAGUGACAGAUCCAGUGCUGGCAGUGCAGAUUUCCUGGAUGUUGGAAGUGCCCCAGCUCUAUCGCAAAUUCUAUGACCAGCCCUGCCAAUUGUCAAACAAUGCGCUGGGCUCAAACAUCGCUGACACAGAUGGCGGUUCGGCUGCGUCCUCUCUGCUGGGCCGGGCGUCCCGCUUGCUGAAGGACUUCCUGCGGGAGAAGACGGUGGAGAAGUUUCGGCCCUAUGACCUGCAGCAGCAGCUGGUCCCCCUGGUCUCCAGCACCCCUCCCCAAGCCCCUAACCCUAACCCUCACCAAGCCCCAGCACCGCAGGAACCUGCAGCCACUCAGUCGUCCUCAAAGCAGCUGCACAAACUCUUCGCUGACACUCUGCAGCUUCUGCAGGACGAGGGCCUGGUGUUCCGCAAAGUCAUAUCACCGGAUCAGGUCUAUCAGGCAAGCUUCGGCAUUCCUCGGAAUGCCACCCAAGUGCCCGAUUACACAUCGGAAAACAGCCGGAGGAAGCGAGACUCCUUAACGGACCACCCUGGUGCAGAUUGCUAAUCUGUGUGUGCUAUGUCAACGUCUUGCUCCGCUAGGUGACUGAACAGGACCGGGAGCUGCAGCGGGUAACCAGGGAGAUCAUCAGAGAGGACUCCAAACGAGAGAAGUAUGCAGAGAAGGGCUGUCACGUUCUGCACAUUCUCUCCUCUGUGAGACAGCGCUACAGCCGUAACGUGAGCAAGGCGGUCGUCGAGGUGGUCCUGAAGGCUCUGGAGUGUAACAGUGAGAUUAUCAGCGCCACAGACAACCACUACACUGCCCUCUGACAAACCGUCACUGAGGACCUGGUGCUCUGGAAAGACUAGAUCAAGAACUUUUGUCUCUGCAGCGCAAAUGGAGCUGUAAAUAUUGUUUUAUUGAUUGACAUAUAUUGUCAUUCAGCUGACUGUUUGUCAAUGUCAAAAUGUAAUGUAAAAAAAAUUUUUUUUUCAUAAACAAUGUUUCCACUUA